rnacentral:rRNA from 1 species
CGCCCGCCGCGCGCGGCGGGCGGGGCGGGGGCACGGGGGGCCUACGGGAGGCAGCAGUGGGGAAUAUUGCGCAAUGGGGGAAACCCUGACGCAGCGACGCCGCGUGAAGGAAGAAGGUCUUCGGAUCGUAAACUUCUAUCAGCAGGGAAGAAGAUAGUGACUGUACCUGACUAAGAAGCCCCGGCUAACUACGUGCCAGCAGCCGCGGUAAU